rnacentral:rRNA from 1 species
AAAUUGACGGGGACCCGCACAAGCGGUGGAUGAUGUGGAUAAUUCGAUGCAACGCGAGAACCUUACUACCCUUGACAUGUCCGGAACUUGCCAGAGAUGGCUUGGUGCCGAAAGGGAAUCGGAACACAGGUGCUGCAUGGCUGUCGUCAGCUCGUGUCGUGAGAUGUCGGGUUAAGUCCCGCAACGAGCGCAACCCUUAUCAUUAGUUGCUACGCAAGGGCACUCUAAUGAGACUGCCGGUGACAAACCGGAGGAAGGUGGGGAUGACGUCAAGUCCUCAUGGCCCUUAUGGGUAGGGCUUCACACGUCAUACAAUGGUCGGUACAGAGGGUUGCCAAGCCGCGAGGCGGAGCCAAUCCCACAAAGCCGAUCGUAGUCCGGAUUGUUCUCUGCAACUCGAGAGCAUGAAGUCGGAAUCGCUAGUAAUCGCAGGUCAGCAUACUGCGGUGAAUACGUUCCCGGGUCUU